GAGUUUGAUCAUGGCUCAGGAUGAACGCUAGCGGCAGGCUUAAUACAUGCAAGUCGUGGGGCAGCACAGGUAGCAAUACUGGGUGGCGACCGGCAAACGGGUGCGGAACACGUACGCAACCUUCCUUUAACUGGAGAAUAGCCCCUCGAAAGAGGGAUUAAUACUCCGUAACAUAAUGAUAAGGCAUCUUAUUAUUAUUAUAGCUCCGGCGGUUAAAGAUGGGCGUGCGCCUGAUUAGAUAGUUGGCGGGGUAAUGGCCCACCAAGUCUGCGAUCAGUAACUGGUGUGAGAGCACGACCAGUCACACGGGCACUGAGACACGGGCCCGACUCCUACGGGAGGCAGCAGUAAGGAAUAUUGGUCAAUGGACGCAAGUCUGAACCAGCCAUGCCGCGUGGAGGAUUAAGGCCCUCUGGGUUGUAAACUCCUUUUAUCUGGGAAGAAAUCCAUGUAUUCUUAUGUGGUUGACGGUACCAGAGGAAUAAGCACCGGCUAACUCCGUGCCAGCAGCCGCGGUAAUACGGAGGGUGCAAGCGUUAUCCGGAUUCACUGGGUUUAAAGGGUGCGUAGGCGGGUAAGUAAGUCCGUGGUGAAAUCUCUGAGCUUAACUCAGAAACUGCCGUGGAUACUAUUUGCCUUGAAUAUUGUGG
rnacentral:rRNA from 1 species